CUGGAACCAGGUUCAAGUAAUCCAGGAUAGGCUUUCUGCAUCUGAUUUGGCCUAUACUUGAUUACUUGCACUUGGAACCAG
rfam:Oryzias latipes DNA, chromosome20, strain: Hd-rR.